UACGUAGGGGGCGAGCGUUGUCCGGAAUGAUUGGGCGUAAAGGGCGCGCAGGCGGCCCGACAAGUCAGUAGUGGAAGUCCAGCUUUCAAGGUUGGAAGUGCUAUUGAAACUGUACAGCUUGAGUGCAGGAGAGGUUAUCGGAAUUCCCGGUGUAGCGGUGAAAUGCGUAGAGAUCGGGAGGAACACCAGUGGCGAAGGCGGGUAACUGGACCGCAACUGACGCUGAGGCGCGAAGGUGUGGGUAUCAAACAGG
rnacentral:rRNA from 1 species